GUGGGGAAUCUUCCGCAAUGGACGAAAGUCUGACGGAGCAACGCCGCGUGAGUGAUGAAGGUCUUCGGAUUGUAAAGCUCUGUUAAUCGGGACGAAAGAGCCUAGUGUGAAUAAUGCUAGGAAGUGACGGUACCGGAAUAGAAAGCCACGGCUAACUACGUGCCAGCAGCCACGGUAAUACGUAGGUGGCAAGCGUUGUCCGGAAUUAUUGGGCGUAAAGCGCGCGCAGGCGGAUCUGCCAGUCUGUCUUAAAAGUUCGGGGCUUAACCCCGUGAUGGGAUGGAAACUACAGAUCUAGAGUAUCGGAGAGGAAAGUGGAAUUCCUAGUGUAGCGGUGAAAUGCGUAGAUAUUAGGAAGAACACCAGUGGCGAAGGCGACUUUCUGGACGAAAACUGACGCUGAGGCGCGAAAGCCAGGGGAGCGAACGGGAUUAGAUACCCGAGUAGUCC
rnacentral:rRNA from 1 species